GAUUCCUAAUUCCUGUCUGUACUGGCAGUUCUGGACUCAGGGCCCUUCCUUGGCUGUGGCUUGAGAUGGCCCUGGAGAACCCUUGCUCCUUGGAUAGCUUGGGGCUGUGUUCUGGCUUCCCAAGGAAAAAGUCAGUGCAUUCCUUUGACCUUAGCCAUCCAUUCUAGGAGUUUGUGCUCCAGCUGGAUAGACUUGUCCACAUGCACAAGACAUAGCUACAAGGAGUGUUUCACUGUGGAGGAGUGAGAACAAAAGAUUGGAAACAAUCUGUGACUUCCAACAGCAGGCUGGAUAAAUAAUUUAUACUCCUUCCACCUAGUGGAAUGCCAUGCCACUGAUAGAGAUGUAAGAGGCAGAUCGAAACAUGCUCGCAGGGACCAGCGACCAAGAUGUAUUAUGAAGUGGAAGAGACCGCGUGUAGAGAUGACCCUCGUGAAGCACAAGCCUGCGCGUGCCCUGGCCCUGCAGCAACAGCACCACCCGCUCCCCACCCCAGCAGGGCAAGGUCCCAGCUCCUCACCCAGGACUCAGCGUUCUUCAAAACGCGUCCCACUUUGUCUCCAGUGCUGUCUCCCUCCACCGGUCUCACGUGUCUCUGCUGCUGCCCUUCUGAAUCUGAACACCUUGUGUGAAUAAUUCUGGAUGUUUCCUGCCUUGCUGGGCUUGCACAAGUCUCAGCUCUGUGAAGACAGGUCCGUGGCUCCUGCAUUUGUAUUUGUGCAUCCACAGCCCUUGCCACCAAGGGACGUGUCUGUUCCACUUGCACACCUUUACCGCUUGGAAGCUCUUUGAGGACACUGGUCUUGUCCAUCAGAUUUUCCUCUGUCCCCCGGCCCCAGGGUCUGACACAGACCCUCCAGUGGCUCCCUGGA